ACGAACGCUGGCGGCAGGCUUCACCCCUGCAAGUCGAGCGCCCCGCAAGGGGAGCGGCAGACGGGUGAGUAACGCGUGGGAACGUACCUUUUGGUUCGGAACAACUCCGGGAAACUGGAGCUAAUACCGGAUAAGCCCUAACGGGGAAAGAUUUAUCGCCGAAAGAUCGGCCCGCGUCUGAUUAGCUAGUUGGUGAGGUAACGGCUCACCAAGGCGACGAUCAGUAGCUGGUCUGAGAGGAUGAUCAGCCACACUGGGACUGAGACACGGCCCAGACUCCUACGGGAGGCAGCAGUGGGGAAUAUUGGACAAUGGGCGCAAGCCUGAUCCAGCCAUGCCGCGUGAGUGAUGAAGGCCUUAGGGUUGUAAAGCUCUUUUGUCCGGGAAGAUAAUGACUGUACCGGAAGAAUAAGCCCCGGCUAACUUCGUG
rnacentral:rRNA from 1 species